CAGGACGAACGCUGGCGGCGUGCCUAAUACAUGCAAGUCGAGCGAGUAUUUGGAAGCUUGCUUCCGAAAUAACUUAGCGGCGGACGGGUGAGUAAUACGUAGGCAACCUGCCUGUAAGACUGGGAUAACUGCCGGAAACGGUAGCUAAUACCGGAUAAAUCAUUUCGCCGCAUGGCGGGAUGCUGAAAGACGGAGCAAUCUGUCACUUACAGAUGGGCCUACGGCGCAUUAGCUAGUUGGUGGGGUAAAGGCCUACCAAGGCGACGAUGCGUAGCCGGCCUGAGAGGGUGAACGGCCACACUGGGACUGAGACACGGCCCAGACUCCUACGGGAGGCAGCAGUAGGGAAUCUUCCGCAAUGGACGAAAGUCUGACGGAGCAACGCCGCGUGAGUGAUGAAAAGGUUUUCGGAUCGUAAAGCUCUGUUGCCAGGGAAGAACGUCUUGGAGAGUAACUGCUCUGAGAGUGACGGUACCUGAGAAGAAAGCCCCGGCUAACUACGUGCCAGCAGCCGC
rnacentral:rRNA from 1 species